AGGCCAAUCACUAUCACCAGUUGUUAUCAUAGCAAAUUGCAGCCAUGGGUCACUGCCCUCUGGCCACCACCAUUGCUAGAUUAGCAUUUUCUUCCCCUUCCUUUAUUUGGGAGAAAACCUCCGUGGUUGUCUUGUUCUUACUCUUUCCUCUCUCUUUCUCUUUAUCUAUUCCUCUUUUCUACCAAGUCUAGGGGAUUUAGUCGAUGGUUUAGAUUUCUCAUCUAUGAACCUAAUUUGACUCAAGUAUGGUGUUCUGAAUUGUCAAUUUUUACUUUAUAACUUUUGCUAAUAAGUGGACCUGGUUUUUUAGAGGAGCAAUCAUUUAAUUCGGCAUGAA
rnacentral:lncRNA from 1 species